AUGCCCAUUUCCGUUCGAUUCCGGCACGCUUGGUCGCUCUGCGUGCGGGCUGUGAUGGACAAGCUGCAGAGCCUGUCGGGGCAGCACGCAGACGUGCUCGAGUCGCUCUCGCCCAAUGUCAGGACGCGUGUUGAGUUUCUGAGGGGCAUUCAGAGUCAACAUGAUGAGAUUGAGGCGAAGUUUUUCGAGGAACGGGCUGCCCUUGAAGCCAAGUACCGGAAGCUGUAUGAACCAUUGUAUGCUAAGACGUAUGACAUUGUACAUUGUAAAUGGAGUUGUGGAGCUAAAGGAGUCCCAGAUUUUUGGCUCAUUGCUUUGAAAACAAAUGAAGUGAUGACUGAGGAGAUCCAAGAGCGUGAUAAGCCUGUUUUGAAAUAUCUAAAGGAUAUCAAGUGGUCUAGAAUUGAUGACCCUAAGGGGUUCAAGCUUUUGACCGCCCGCGCCGCCGCCGAAUCCGGCAGCAAGCGCACCUGCGCGGCCGAGUUGCACAACCUCUCCGAUAAGGUGGUGUCUCGCUUCCCUGUCGUUAACCGCUUUUCUGCUAUUCUCGCCCUGUUUUCUCGGCUUCUCAUUGCUUGCUUGCUUGAUUGGGGUGCAGCGGCGGAGGAGCAGGAUCAACGAGAAGAUGAAGGCGUUGCAGAGCCUGAUACCCAAUUCCAACAAGGUCGGCACCACAAAACCAACAAGGCAUCCAUGCUUGACGAGGCCAUUGAGUAUCUGAAGCAACUGCAGCUCCAAGUAUAG
rnacentral:rRNA from 1 species